GCGAACGCUGGCGGCAGGCCUAAUACAUGCAAGUCGAGCGGCCCUUCGGGGCAGCGGCAGACGGGUGAGUAACGCGUGGGAACGUGCCCUUUGGUACGGAACAACUGAGGGAAACUUCAGCUAAUACCGUAUGUGCCCUUCGGGGGAAAGAUUUAUCGCCAUUGGAGCGGCCCGCGUUAGAUUAGCUAGUUGGUAGGGUAAUGGCCUACCAAGGCGACGAUCUAUAGCUGGUCUGAGAGGAUGAUCAGCCACACUGGGACUGAGACACGGCCCAGACUCCUACGGGAGGCAGAAGUAGGGAAUCUUGCGCAAUGGGCGAAAGCCUGACGCAGCCAUGCCGCGUGAAUGAUGAAGGUCUUAGGAUUGUAAAAUUCUUUCACCGGGGACGAUAACGACGGUACCCGGAGAAGAAGCCCCGGCUAACUUCGUGCCAGCAGCCGCCGUAAAAC
rnacentral:rRNA from 1 species